AAAGACGCGAGCUCACCUGCUCGAAGACCUAAAACCCGGAAAUUAGUUACCGUUCAUAUGGCGAAAAUGAAUGAGGAAAGAAUAGGCUUUUGGGAUAAACGCGAAAAUAAGAAAGCUUUGCGCCAAGGUAAAGCAGGAAGAUAUUUUUUCGUCUGCAACUUCGGGAAUUUAUCCAGAAGGAGUGUGUUGCUCAGGCCCUGGGGAGAGUGGUGUGUGUCAGUGUGUGUUACAGAAACACCAGCAGUGAGUGUAUGUCUGUCUGUAAUCUGCUUCCGCCGGCUGUUUGUGGCAUCGGCUGUGAAGUGAACAGGAAGACAGAGGGUUGAAGAGAGAGAAAGAGAAGAGAGAGGAAGCUG